CACCAAGUUUAUAUUUUUAUGUCAAUCUUCUUGCACUGCAAAAGCUUGACAUGAUGCUCAAAUGAAAUAUUAAAUGUUUUUGAAGAUAUUGAAUUAGGAGCAUUAUGGAGAAUUCCCUUUGUUCGAACUCAUUUCAUGUGUUCCUCCAAGUGGCCCCUUUGAGAAGGGAAUGACACACAUGGAGUGGUUCGAAGAUACUAAAUGUAUGCAUUGGAAAUGGGAGAACUAAGUUUAUGUU